CAGUCGCCGCGGGAAUACAGAGGAUGCAAGCGUUAUCCGGAAUUAUUGGGCGUAAAGCGCGCGCAGGUGGUUAAAUAAGUCUGAUGUGAAAGCCCACGGCUCAACCGUGGAGGGUCAUUGGAAACUGUUAAACUUGAGUGCAGGAGAGAAAAGUGGAAUUCCUAGUGUAGCGGUGAAAUGCGUAGAGAUGUGGAGGAACACCAGUGGCGAAGGCGACUCUCUGGUCUGUAACUGACGCUGAGGAGCGAAAGCGUGGGGAGCGAACAGGAUUAGAUACCCCAGUAGUCCCUGUCUCUUAUAC
rnacentral:rRNA from 1 species